rnacentral:rRNA from 1 species
AGCGAACGCUGGCGGCAGGCCUAACACAUGCAAGUCGAACGAACCCUUCGGGGCUAGUGGCGGACGGGUGAGUAACACGUGGGAACGUGCCUUUAGGUUCGGAAUAACCGAGGGAAACUUGUGCUAAUACCGAAUGUGCCCUUCGGUGGAAAGAUUUAUCGCCUUUAGAGCGGCCCGCGUCGGAUUAGCUAGUUGGUGAGGUAAUGGCUCACCAAGGCGACGAUCAGUAGCUGGUCUGAGAGGAUGACCAGCCACAUUGGGACUGAGACACGGCCCAAACUCCUACGGGAGGCAGCAGUGGGGAAUAUUGCGCAAUGGGCGAAAGCCUGACGCAGCCAUGCCGCGUGGAUGAUGAAGGUCUUAGGAUUGUAAAAUCCUUUCACCGGUGAAGAUAAUGACUGUAGCGGGAGAAGAAGCCCCGGCUAACUUCGUGCCAGCAGCCGCCGUAACAC